UAAGAAGAUAGAUAUAAGCGGUUUACAUACAUAAUUGCCUUACACUUUCUCAAUAUAUAAUAUUUCAAUUCGCCUAUUUUUUCUUCCCUUGUAGGUGCCCUUGUGGAUAACGCUGCGCGCAACUGUUGCAGAAUAAUUGUAGCCGUACUUCGCCAAUCUAGUUCCGUUGGAAGACGUAGCUGACCUUGUUCUAGAUGUUCUUGUUGCUCAAUCAAUAGAAAUACAAGUUUGUCCAGUUGAAGAUGAUGUCAUACGGAACGAAGACAACAACCAUCAACCAAAUAAAUUCCAAAGAGACAACAAAGGUGGACCUCGUCAUCGAAGUUUGCAUCACGUUGAAGGCAGAGAAGAAGAGCAUGGGUAUCCGAUCAUUGAAAGGUUAGUGUCUUUAGAUGAGAUAAGAGUUAUCUUGAACGAACAACGGGAGGCAUUUGAGAGCAAGAUGGGUGAUUUGAGGGAAGAGAUGAACACAAGAUUCGCUAGUCUCCAAAAUGAUCUGGGAGGUCAUGUGUGUGGUUUGAGAAAUCAUGUCACUGAUGAGAUCAAUGUGCUUUGACGAAGGUUUGAUAAAGUUGCUACAGAAAUUGGGCAACACAAUGUUGCUGCUGAGUAUGAUGGAUUUGGUCAUAACGAUCACGAUGGAGACGAGCCUCGACAUGAUGUUUUGACUCCCAAUAUUUUUGCUGAUAGACAAGAUAUCGGAGAGGCAACCGAACCAGUUGUUUGCAAUAUCUCUGAUGUGUCCAUAACGUUGGGAGGUGGGGUUGGGGUACUUGGGUCAAUAUACGUUGCUUGUGAUAUUGUGAAAGAGGCACCAGUCAUUGUACUUACAAUUGGUGUGAUUGUUGAUGAUCAGUUUGUUCAUGUUAGCAACGUUUUUGGACCUUCAAUAGCAGCUGAUCUACCUACACUUAGACCUCAAUUGUUGAGGCUGAAGAAGGUUAGUGCAAACACAAAGAUGCCAUACAUCCAAUCUGGUCUCAAGAGGGAUAUGAGGGAUGCGUAGUCUGUGUAUUUUGGUUGACGGCACAUAAUAGUUAUUGGAUAUGAACUUCAGGUUGAUUCAAAUUUAGAGGUUCGCAUAUUUUGGUUUAUAUGGUG
rnacentral:lncRNA from 1 species